UCCCCGGUGGUCCAGUGGUUAAGACUCCUCACUGCCAAUGCAGGGGGCCUGGGUUCCAUCCCCAGUCGGGGAA